rnacentral:lncRNA from 1 species
GGUUUGGGGUUUAGGGUUUUAGGGUUUAAGGUUUAGGGUUUUAGGGUUUAGGAUUUUAGAAUUUAGGGUUUAGGGGUUUAGGGUUUUAGGAUUUAGGGUUUAGUAUUUAGGAUAUAGGAUUUAGGGUUUUAGGGUUUGGGGGUUAAAGUUUAGGAUUUUAGGGUUUGGGGUUUAGGGAUUUAAGGGUUUAGGGUUUUAGGAUUUAUGGCAUAGGGUUUAGGGUUUUAGGAUUUAGGGUUUAGGG